GACGAACCGUGCGAACGUUGUUCGGAAUCACUGGGUUUAAAGGGCGCGUAGGCGGGCUGUCAAGUCGGUGGUGAAAUCUUUCGGCUCAACCGGAAAAUUGCCUUCGAUACUGGCGGCCUGGAGGGAGGUAGGGGCAUGCGGAACUUCCGGUGGAGCGGUGAAAUGCGUAGAUAUCGGAAGGAACACCGAUGGCGAAAGCAGCGUGCUGGACCUUUUCUGACGCUGAGGCGCGAAAGCCAGGGGAGCAAACAGG
rnacentral:rRNA from 1 species